AUUGAACGCUGGCGGUAUGCUUAACACAUGCAAGUCGAACGGUAACAGGCCUUCGGGUACUGACGAGUGGCGGACGGGUGAGUAACGCGUAGGAAUCUGCCUCAUAGUGGGGGACAACGUGGGGAAACUCACGCUAAUACCGCAUACGCCCUACGGGGGAAAGCGGGGGAUCUUCGGACCUCGCGCUAUGAGAUGAGCCUGCGUUAGAUUAGCUAGUUGGUAGGGUAAAGGCCUACCAAGGCGACGAUCUAUAGUUGGUCUGAGAGGACGAUCACCCACACGGGGACUGAGACACGGCCCAGACUCCUACGGGAGGCAGCAGUGGGGAAUAUUGGACAAUGGGCGCAAGCCUGAUCCAGCAAUACCGCGUGUGUGAAGAAGGCCCUAGGGUUGUAAAGCACUUUCAAUAGGGAGGAAAACCUGCCGGUCAAUACCCGGCAGCUUGACAUUACCUAUAGAAGAAGCACCGGCUAACUCCGUGCCAGCCGCCGCAGUAAAAC
rnacentral:rRNA from 1 species